UUGGGGGAGAAAGGAAAUCUUUGAUAACCUACUUCCCAGGACCAGACCUCAGAUCAGUAAACUGAGGUCCAGAGACCCAUGGCCUAGCGAAGGAGGUUCAAGUGCAGGCCUUCCUGACCACAGUGCACCGCCAAGGCUCCUUCUCUACACCACUGCAUGUGUGCGUGUGAGUGGGCAGCUGCACACCAUCGUAUACGUAAACGUGUUUACGCAUGGAGUACAUGUGCUUUAUGGUGCAGGGGUGAAGGCACAAAGGCGUGUGUAUGGGGGGGCUGGGGUGUUAUACUAGCAGGCUGAGCAGACUGUAACAAGGGGACACACAUCUCUCUUUUGGGCCAACCCAUGUUUGGAGAAGACAGGAGCUUUCUCAUGCACAAGCGCCAAGAGAGGAAAGUGAACCCAGGUUUGGGCGGUCUGUGGUGACUUGUGCCAUGGACCAUGUGGAAGCCUGAAGAUGCCUGGGGCCUUCGUAGUACCAUUGCCUUUAGCCUCCCGUGGCCACCUGCAGCAACUGCCAUCACCCUUACUGUGGACGGGAGUUGCACUGCUAAAGUCCCCACGGCCCUGCAGGAUGGCCAGAGAUGUCUGCCCUCACUCCGCUACCCUCUCAGUCUUCUUUGACCACUCUGGUCCCCCAACCUCAAUGUCGACCCCACAUCUGCAAGUGACAUCACUGUCCAUGUAGCUCUGUAAGUCUUCAAACUGGGAGUCAGCCUACCUCCUGCCAUCACUGACCUUCAAGCAAUCCAGAUGAAAAAUGCCUCUGGGCAUUUUGGGGACAGGAGAUAUAAGGAAUGAGUCAUAAAUAUCCUGUCAUAUAAAAUAGGAUGCUAUGAAACACUCCCCGGGUCAUGUCAAAAGGAGACAGGAGCCAACCUGAAUACACUUCCACCAGCCAAAGGCGAGAUUUUUUGAGCACCAGUAAGAUUAAUAACUGCAAUGGAUUGACACCAAUCAGACAUGUUUAAAUCCACUGAUUCACACAUAUUUAAAAAUAACUAGUUUUUCACCUUAGGGGGAUGCUAGGCAGCUGGUAAAUAAAGGGAAAGCAUUAAAUAUUUGUCAUGUCUUUUGCAUAUGAUCUAUCUCUCAGGAUAACUAAAUAAUCAAUGAGGGCAAGUUUCACUUUGUAGAAAUAUGCAGGUUAAUAAAAUAAGAAAUAAUACAGUUAUAAUGUCACUAUUUUGCAAUUCCUCAUGAAUUUAAGUAAUGAUCAUCCAUGGCUGCAGAUGUUGCAAAAUGAGACACAACCAGAAGUUAGGUGCUUCCUGAUGGAAGCACAUAUCACCAUCUAGGAGGUGGUCUUGAAAAAAAUAGUUGGACGUGAAUUUGUUCAAGCCUCCCUAACUAAAUACAGAAGACAGAAGACAUGUUAAAUGGUACCACAGGGUUGCAAUCAACCAAAUUCAGACUGUGGGAAACUGCAAGGAUAAACAACCUAGUUUCCAGCUUGGUGCGUGAGCCACCACACCCAUGCCUGGCUCCC
rnacentral:lncRNA from 1 species